CCUACGGGAGGCAGCAGUGAGGAAUAUUGGUCAAUGGACGAGAGUCUGAACCAGCCAAGUAGCGUGAAGGCUGACUGCACUAUGGGUUGUAAACUUCUUUUAUAUGGGAGUAAAAUGUUCGCCGGGUGGGAUUUUGUGUGUACCAUAAGAAUAAGGAUCGGAUAACUCCGGGCCAGCAGCUGCGGUAAUAAGGAGGAUCCGGGCGUUAUACGGAUUUAUUGGGGUUAAAGGGAGCGUAGGUGGAUUGGUAAGUACAUUGUGAAAGUGGGGGGCUCAACCGGAAAAUUGCAGUUGAAACUGGCAGUCGUGAUUACAGUAGGGGUGGGCGGAAUGCGUGGUGUAGCGGUGAAAUGCUUAGAUAUCACGAAGAACUCCGAUUGCGAAGGCAGCUCACUGGACUGCAACUGACACUGAGGCUCGAAAGUGUGGGUAUCAAACAGGAUUAGAUACCCGUGUAGUC
rnacentral:rRNA from 1 species